GCGCAGCAGUCGAGAAAACUCCGCAAUGCACGAAAGUGUGACGGGGUCAACCCGAGUGCCAACUCAAAAAGUUGGCUUUUCACCGGUGUAAGCAGCCGGUGGAAUAAGGGGAGGGCAAGGCUGGUGCCAGCCGCCGCGGUAAAACCAGCUCCUCGAGUAGUCAAGACGUUUAUUGGGCCUAAAGCGUCCGUAGCCGGUCCAGUAAGUCUCUGGUCAAAUCUAACGGCUCAACCGUUAGACCGCUAGAGAUACUGCUGGACUCGGAGGCGGGAGAGGCCGAGGGUACUCUCAGGGUAGGGGUGAAAUCCGAUAAUCCUGAGGGGACCACCAGUGGCGAAGGCGCUCGGCUGGAACGCGCUCGACGGUGAGGGACGAAAGCC
rnacentral:rRNA from 1 species